GCUGACCCCGCCCAAUGCUCUGAUCCAUGGCCCAAGGGUGAGUAACACGUGAGCUUUCUGCCCUUCACUCUGGGAUAAGCCUUGGAAACGAGGUCUAAUACCGGAUACGACGCACCUGGGCAUCUGGUGUGCGUGGAAAGAUUUUUCGGUGGGGGAUGGGCUCGCGGCCUAUCAGCUUGUUGGUGGGGUGAUGGCCUACCAAGGCGACGACGGGUAGCCGGCCUGAGAGGGCGACCGGCCACACUGGGACUGAGACACGGCCCAGACUCCUACGGGAGGCAGCAGUGGGGAAUAUUGCACAAUGGGCGCAAGCCUGAUGCAGCGACGCCGCGUGAGGGAUGACGGCCUUCGGGUUGUAAACCUCUUUCAGCAGGGAAGAAGCGCAAGUGACGGUACCUGCAGAAGAAGCGCCGGCUAACUACGUGCCAGCAGCCGCGGUAAUACGUAGGGCGCAAGCGUUGUCCGGAAUUAUUGGGCGUAAAGAGCUCGUAGGCGGUUUGUCGCGUCUGCUGUGAAAACUCGAAGCUCAACCUCGGGCUUGCAGUGGGGUACGGGCAGACUAAAAGUGGCGGGUAGGGGUGACUGGGAAUUUCCUGGUGGUAGCGGUGGAAAUGCCCAGAUAUCAGGAAGGAACACCCGAUGGCGAAAGGCAGGUCACUGGGGCCCGCAACUGACCCUUGAGGAGCCGAAGCCUUGGGGAAGCGAACAGGAAUAAAAUACCCUGGUAAUUCCCUGGCCC
rnacentral:rRNA from 1 species